UCCAGGCUUUCCGUCCCGUGUCUCCCUCCUCGCCUUCCCGUGAAGUCGCCGCUCGCCGUACCAAAUGAGAAGAACCCCAGAAAAUGUGCAGGAAAUUUUCCGAUCGCGAGGACGAUGACGACGAGCAGGAGGUAUCGAGGAGCCAGAGGAAGGGGGUGCCUCCCCAGCUGGUCCGCGGCCGGCCGUUACCCCGUUACUGCGGCGAUCCCGCCCAAGACCUAAUUCAUGCGCAACUCAGUGAUUGUGAUGAAUAUUUGGUGAACCAAAUCGUUUCCUACUCGCCUCUUGAUUUUCCAGAAGAAUGGUUGAAGCUACCGCUGCAUUGUCAUUUCAGGAACCAACAAGUUUUACCUGUGGAACUGGUACGACUACUGGUGAUACAAGGUCUAAUGCGAAAUUUCUGAGAUGCACAUCCUUCAGCUCAAACCACCGCAACAAUGCAUGCUGCGUUGGUACAUCUGCAAGGUUUUCAGUUUUCGCAACACAAAUUGCAUCGGAGCAUCAUGCCACAUCAUGUCAAAAAUUUCCCCUGAAACGUGGGCCGUAUCAUUUGUUACCUUUCGUGGAUCGCAGGUUUGGAUUAUUCCUCAAGAGUAUCAUACUUUUGCAGCAGCUCCUGCCAAAGUAUGCAAGGCAUCCUAGGUGGAAGGUGUGCAGACUGCAGAGUCGUGCUGUCAAGUUCUUUGUGUCUGGAGUCUGGACGGGACUAGUGAGCUAUUGCGAGGACUUGUGCAGGUCCAUAUACAGUGAACCAUAGCUUGCCCCACCGAAGUGCCAAUCCCCACAAAGCCGCAACACACUGUGGCUGUGUGACUCACAAUAAAGCACGAUCGUAUCCUUCCUCCUGUCUUUAUCACCCCACCCUCUUCCUAUGCAAUAGCUAGUUUCUGCAUGGUAAUGGAGAAGAUGAUGGUGGCAUUGUGGUGGGAAGUAGUUGUGGAGAUCGCUGCUAUUGCAAACUGCAGCUAAUUGCUUGCUUGAUACAAUCACUUGGCAUUGUGAUCGCCACAGCCCUUUCUGUCCUCAUUGCCAUCUUCUUUGCAUAAAUACAUGGGAGUAGUUCAGGUUCCAAUCUGUUUGACAAGGUUUUCUUUUACUGGAGGUAUUCAGUUCAACUUCUGAGUUGUGACAAACCCCUAGCCUACUCUUGUGGCGUCCGUCUUGAGCACUGAAGAGGUUGGUUUCUCCAGAACUGCUGGGCCUAAAAUUAGGUGUCAAUAAGCGUAUCCGGAGCAGCAUGGGCGCACAUGAUCUAAAAGCUACGGACUGCAUACUGCCUCAAAUAUAUUGUGAUAGAUCUAGGACCACAUGUCAACCAUCUUGAAAUUGUAGUUCUCUUCUUUUUCAGGCCCUAAAUUUCCUCUUGUGAAAUUGGAAUAAUCUCGGGUUAUGGCUGCAUUAUCGUUUUUCUUUUGAAAACAAGCCUGUAUCAGCACUUUGUCAUGGCUUCACAGUUACUUCAUGUACGAAUCAUAUAACUCGCAUAAUCUGUAUGGUGAGAUUCUAAUCAGCGCUCGCUUUUUGGUGCA